rnacentral:rRNA from 1 species
CAGUCGCCGCGGGAAUACGGAGGGGGCUAGCGUUGUUCGGAAUUACUGGGCGUAAAGCGCACGUAGGCGGCUUGGUAAGUUAGAGGUGAAAGCCCGGGGCUCAACCCCGGAAUUGCCUUUAAGACUGCCGAGCUAGCAGGUGAGAGAGGUGAGUGGAAUUCCGAGUGUAGAGGUGAAAUUCGUAGAUAUUCGGAAGAACACCAGUGGCGAAGGCGGCUCACUGGCUCAUACUGGACGCUGAGGUGCGAAAGCGUGGGGAGCAAACAGGAUUAGAUACCCGUGUAGUCCCUGUCUCUUAUAC